UACGUAGGGCGCAAGCGUUGUCCGGAAUUAUUGGGCGUAAAGAGCUCGUAGGCGGUCUGUCGCGUCGGAUGUGAAAGCCCGGGGCUUAACCCCGGGUCUGCAUUCGAUACGGGCAGACUAGAGUGUGGUAGGGGAGAUCGGAAUUCCUGGUGUAGCGGUGAAAUGCGCAGAUAUCAGGAGGAACACCGGUGGCGAAGGCGGAUCUCUGGGCCGAUACUGACGCUGAGGAGCGAAAGCGUGGGGAGCAAACAGG
rnacentral:rRNA from 1 species